UGUUGGGGUCCGUGCCCUGCGCUGCGCUGGGCGCCAUGGCGUUCCCCGGAGCCCGGGCCCGCGUCUGGGCGGCAGCAGCCAGAGCGGCCCAGAGGAGCCGCCGCGUGGAGAACGCAGGAGAGUCCCCGAGUCCUGAGCCUGCGGGCCGGCUUGCGGCGCUUUACUACACGUGAUGGCCUUACUGCGAGAAGCGCUGCAGUUACUGCAACUUCAACAAGUACAUCCCUCGCCACGUGGAGGAGGCUGCCAUGCAGAAGUGUCUGGUGACCGAAGCGCAGACGCUGUUGCGGCUCAGCGGGGUGCAAUGGGUGGAGUCUGUGUUCUUUGGUGGGGGGACCCCCAGUCUAGCCAGUCCCCACACGUUGGCUGCUGUCCUGGAGGCUGUGGCACAGACAGCCCACCUGCCUGCAGACUCGGAAGUCACAUUGGAGGCUAAUCCUACUUCAGCUCCGGGCUCCAGACUGGCAGAGUUCGGGGCAGCAGGGGUCAACAGGUUGUCUAUAGGCCUCCAGUCCCUAGAUGACACUGAGCUCCGGCUGUUGGGACAGACACACUUGGCCUGCGAUGCUCUGCGGACGCUGGCAGAGGCCCGGCGCCUCUUUCCCGGGCGCGUGUCUGUGGACUUGAUGCUGGGGCUGCCGGCACAGCAGGUGGGGCCGUGGCUUGGGCAGCUGCAGGAACUGCUGCACCACUGUGAUGACCACCUCUCCCUCUACCAGCUGUCCCUGGAGCGGGGAACCGCACUCUUCGCCCAGGUGCAGCGGGGUGCCCUUCCAGCCCCUGACCCGGAGCUCGCAGCUGAGAUGUACCAGAGGGGCUGGGCCGUUCUUCGGGAGGCUGGCUUCCACCAGUAUGAGGUCUCCAACUUUGCCCGGAAUGGAGCGCUCAGUACCCACAAUUGGACUUACUGGCAGUGUGGUCAGUACCUUGGCAUUGGGCCUGGGGCCCAUGGGCGAUAUAUGCCCCAGGGGGCUGGAGGCCACACCCGGGAGGCUCGGAUCCAGACACUGGAGCCUGACAACUGGAUGAAGGAGGUGAUGCUGUUUGGCCAUGGCACCCGGAAGCAUGUCCCCCUGGGCAGGCUGGAGCUGCUGGAGGAAGUUUUGGCCCUGGGGCUACGCACCGACGUGGGGAUCACUCACCAGCACUGGCAGCAGUUUGAGCCCCAGCUGACCCUGUGGGACGUGUUUGGAGCGAACAAGGAGGUGCAGGAGGUGCAGGAGCUGCUGGAGCGGGGCCUACUGCAGCUGGAUCACAGGGGUCUUCGGUGUUCCUGGGAGGGUCUGGCUGUGCUGGACUCUCUCUUGCUGACCCUCCUGCCUCAGCUCCAAGAGGCCUGGCAGCAGAGAACCCCCUCCCCUGUGCUAGGAGGAUGACAAAAUGUUCCUGUGUUCCAGGGUAAUGCCAGGCAAUUACCUCCCCAAGAGAAGCCUUCCUUACUUUGGAGUAAGGUCCUAAGACAGCUGGAUGAGUCAGGAAAACCAUGUCCCCUCUAGGUAUUAUUAAUAUAAGCAGGAAGGGAUCUACUAUAGGAAUGAAGUAUUUAUAAAACCACUGAAAGGGACAGAGAAGUGAAAAUUGGAGAAAGCCAGUAGCAACUGUCAGAAAUCAGCAACGUGCAGGAGGCACAGAAAACUCCUGCUGAUGGUCUCAGCUUCCAGCAGCACAAAAGCAGAUGAUGUACUGGAAAGUGCUCAGAAGAUGCUACAAAAC